rnacentral:sRNA from 1 species
GCAGACGAGGCCUACUUCAUAGUCAAAGAGAUUCUCGCUACAGAACGAACAUACCUCAAGGAUUUAGAAGUUAUUACCGUGUGGUUCCGUAGCGCAGUGGUGAAGGAGGACGCCAUGCCUGUGACUCUGAUGACGCUGCUCUUCUCCAACAUCGAUCCCAUCUAUGAGUUCCACAGAGGCUUCCUGCGCGAGGUGGAGCAGAGGCUGGCACUCUGGUAACACCCCUUCAGCCCCCACACGGGAGACUCCCACACCAACUCAUCAUCACCGCU